GAGAGAGACCGCAUGCUGAAGAACACUUCUGAAUCCCUCCUGUUACCCACAGUCCUGCUGCCCUUCUUGAGAAGCCUUGCUAGAACUCUGUCGAAGUGGAUCACAAUCCCAGUGUCUCAGCGGAACAGGAUGAAGUACAUAUGUAUUUCAUUCUUCUUCACAAGUGAGUGAGACUCCAUCAGGCCCAUCAUGAAGUCAUCUAAGACCCAACAACAACAGCAGCUUAAAGAAGGCAAAACAAAAUAAAAUGACAAAGGAGAGAAGGAAAAGAAAAAAGCCAGAAAAACUGAAGGUCAGAGAGAACUUUAUUCCCAGAUUUAUUACCUCAUGAGUUCCAAAGCUCAAGUUUUCAACAACAAAAAUAAAAAUCACAGUCCAUCAGAAGAAGAAAAAAAUUCACUCAGAAAAAAAAAAAAAUGUAUGAGCUGUUUAAGGAGACCUGGGAGGAGGAGCGGGGAGAAGCUUCGCAGAGAAUAGCUGGAUAAACCAGAUGGUAGAUACACUACACACAAGGCUUUUCAACAGCAGCCUUAAAGCUGAGAAUAUCUGCUCUUUUCUCACAAUGGAUGCACCCAAAAGGAAAUAAAUCAAAGAAGGGAUAGUAAAUCUAAAAAAGACCCCUCCCAAAUUCAUAAAAUUAAAAAACUAUGCCUACAAAUAAAAAUAUUAUUGAAAGAUUCCAAAGGAAAAUUCAAGCAGACAGGAGACUGCACUAGUCCCCUUGGGAAAAAGAACAAUGAAAAUUACCAUGUGAAGGAGCCUCACCUGAGUGUGCAGGGUGGUAUGGACGCGCCUACCUGAUGCUGGGGAAUGGCUGGUUACUGUUGAGAGAGGAACUUAACUGCAACUUACUGGUUGGUCAUGGAACCUC